rnacentral:rRNA from 1 species
ACCAGACUCCUACGGGAGGCAGCAGUGGGGGAUAUUGCACAAUGGGGGAAACCCUGAUGCAGCGACGCCGCGUGGGUGAAGAAGCGCCUCGGCGCGUAAAGCCCUGUCAGCAGGGAAGAAAAUGACGGUACCUGAAGAAGAAGCCCCGGCUAACUACGUGCCAGCAGCCGCGGUAAUACGUAGGGGGCAAGCGUUAUCCGGAUUCACUGGGUGUAAAGGGAGCGUAGACGGCCAUGCAAGCCUGGAGUGAAAGCCCGGGGCCCAACCCCGGGACUGCUCUGGGAACUGUGCGGCUGGAGUGCGGGAGGGGCAGGCGGAAUUCCUGGUGUAGCGGUGAAAUGCGUAGAUAUCAGGAGGAACACCGGUGGCGAAAGCGGCCUGCUGGACCGUAACUGACGUUGAGGCUCGAAAGCGUGGGGAGCAAACAGGAUUAGAUACCCGGGUAAG